AAAGCCUGAUGCAGCUAUGCCGCGUGUAUGAAGAAGGCCUUCGGGUUGUAAAGUACUUUCAACAAGAAAGAAAAAAUAAAAUCUAAUAUAUUUUAUUCUUGACGUUACUUGGAAAAGAAGCACCGGCUAACUCCGUGCCAGCAGCCGCGGUAAUACGGAGGGUGCUAGCGUUAAUCGGAAUUACUGGGCGUAAAGAGCACGUAGGCGGUUAAUUAAGUCAGAUGUGAAAUCCCUAAGCUUAACUUAGGAACUGCAUUUGAAACUAAUUAACUUGAGUUUCGUAGAGGGGGGUAGAAUUCCAGGUGUAGCGGUGAAAUGCGUAGAUAUCUGGAGGAAUACCAGUGGCGAAGGCGACCCCCUGGACGAAUACUGACGCUCAGGUGCGAAAGCAUGGGGAGCAAACAGGAUUAGAUACCCUGGUAGUCCAUGCUGUAAACGAUGUCGACUUGAAGGUUGUAAGCUUGACUUGUAACUUUCGUAGCUAACGCGUUAAGUCGACCGCCUGGGGAGUACGACCGCAAGGUUAAAACUCAAAUGAAUUGACGGGGGCCCGCACAAGCGGUGGAGCAUGUGGUUUAAUUCGAUGCAACGCGAAAAACCUUACCUGGUCUUGACAUCCAUGGAAUUUAAUAGAGAUAUUUAAGUGCCUUCGGGAACCAUGAGACAGGUGCUGCAUGGCUGUCGUCAGCUCGUGUUGUGAAAUGUUGGGUUAAGUCCCGCAACGAGCGCAACCCUUGUCCUUUGUUGCCAUCAGUUUAGCUGGGAACUCAAAGGAAACUGCCGGUGAUAAACCGGAGGAAGGUGAGGACGACGUCAAGUCAUCAUGGCCCUUACGACCAGGGCUACACACGUGCUACAAUGGUAUAUACAAAGGGAAGCAUCCUCGUAAGAGUAAGCGGAUCUCACAAAAUAUAUCUUAGUUCGGAUUGGAGUCUGCAACUCGACUCUAUGAAGUCGGAAUCGCUAGUAAUCGUAGAUCAGAACGCUACGGUGAAUACGUUCCCGGGCCUUGUACACACCGCCCGUCACACCAUGGGAGUGGGUUGUAAAAGAAGUAAAUUGCUUAACCAUUUUUGGAGG
rnacentral:rRNA from 1 species